CCUACGGGUGGGCAGCAGUAGGGAAUCUUCCACAAUGGGCGAAAGCCUGAUGGAGCAACGCCGCGUGGGUGAAGAAGGUCUUCGGAUCGUAAAACCCUGUUGUUAGAGAAGAAAGUGCGUGAGAGUAACUGUUCACGUUUCGACGGUAUCUAACCAGAAAGCCACGGCUAACUGCGUGCCAGCAGCCGGGGUGAUACGUAGGUGGCAAGCGUUAUCCGGAUUUAUUGGGCGUAAAGGAAACGGCGGGGGUCUUUUAAGUUUGAUGUGAAAGCCUUGGGCUUAACCGGAGUAGUGCAGUGGAAACUGGGAGACUUGAGUGGAGAAGAGGAGAGUGGAACGCGAGGUGUAGCGGUGAAAUGCGUAGAUAUAGGGAAGAACACCAGUGGCGAAGGCGGCUCUCUGGUCUGUAACUGACGCUGAGGGUCGAAAGCGUGGGUAGCGAACAGGAUUAGAUACCCGUGUAGUC
rnacentral:rRNA from 1 species